rnacentral:lncRNA from 1 species
GAAGAAUCAAAUAAUGAACUUGAAAAUCAAUUUAACUAAGUCAAACUUGAUUUAUAAAAUGUGUAAGAAUGAGAAUUUGAACUAUGCUGACCUUAAUUUAAUUAUAUAGUAAAUUGUUAACGAAUGUGCCGGAGUUCCAUAUGGAUUAACCCCUUUAAAGGUUGUAAGGUAAGUUGAGUAUCUUCCUUGUUUGCUCACUAAGCAUUUAUGCUUAACCCGUCAUUAUUUCUUGUGCGUAGAUUGAUUGUGGA